UACGAAGGGGGCUAGCGUUGCUCGGAUUGACUGGGCGUAAAGGGCGCGUAGGCGGUUCGUUCAGUCAGACGUGAAAUUCCUGGGCUCAACCUGGGGGCUGCGUUUGAUACGUGCGGACUUGAGUGCGGAAGAGGGUCGUGGAAUUCCCAGUGUAGAGGUGAAAUUCGUAGAUAUUGGGAAGAACACCGGUGGCGAAGGCGGCGACCUGGUCCGAUACUGACGCUGAGGCGCGAAGGCGUGGGGAGCAAACAGG
rnacentral:rRNA from 1 species